rnacentral:lncRNA from 1 species
CUUUACAAACAUAUUCUUCACCAUGCCAGAGGGCUGAUUUUGACGGAAAACUCCCAGGAAGUCACAGUGUUGGUACUCUUCCAAGGUCCUAAUAAACUAAGGUAACUAUGGAAACUCAAGCACUUGGAACACUGGGCAAUGUAAACGCUCUCUGCUCGGCAGGGUUCCCUCACACGCAAACACCAUUUCUGAGAAAUCCUUAGUACACCUCCCCGAGGGGACCGCACAGACUCAGACCACAUCUAAACAAGCCACAAGCCUGCUCCAGUUCUCUUUGGAACGGGGACACCCAAACCAGCUCCUCCUGGAGAUCUGGGCCCCCUCCCUCUGGACAGCUGAACAGAAGUGAAGCUAACACAUCACCAAUUCCCAAGCUUAGAUUCUGCAACUUGGUGCCUGACAUUGCCACAGCAGAGUCCCCAUGCUGUAGGGGUGACCAGCAUGGGCCCUGUGUGGCAGGAAGAAAAGUCGGCUGAGCCCUGCCUCAGAUGAUGAUGAUGACGAUGGCAACUCACACACCCCAGUGCUUCCAUGUGCCUGCCAUUGUUCUAGCAAGCCCUCAAAAGCAAGAUCCAGUGUCCUGGCACCGGGGAGAGUGCAGAGUCUGCAGCCACCGCCAGAAGACCUUGCUGGGUUCAGAGAGCAGCAGCCAGAGUUCCGCAGAGCUGGACAAGACACCAUCCUCAGCCACUCACUGACAAACGCCGCACUAGCAACUGCCACCUCACCAUUUAACUGGCUCCCAGACGAUGAAUGCAAACUGAGCUGUCUUAAGUUAAACUCGCCUCUUUCCAUGGCCCGAUGUGGGUGGGAGCUCUGCUCCUGGAAACUCACUUCAUGCAAUUAAAAAAAUGCCAGCACUGAUAACUCAAAUAAAUAACAACAUGCAUCCAUGCCUUUACUACUAUUUAACUCAAACCCAGCUUUUUCUUUUAUUGUAACUUUUAUUUUAUCAAACCCAAUUUAAAAGCAACCUAAUAAAUGUUUCUUUGGCAGGACUUUUCUGCCCAGGUUGGACAUACUGAGGUUAUCUUUUAAAUCCAGUGACUUCUGUACUAAAGCCACAUGCUUCAUCUUUUUAAAUAUUUUCCUGUAGGAAACAUAUUCGUUUUCAUUAAUUUAAGAACCCUGACUAUGAGAUCACAUUCAAAAUUUAGGUCAGCUGCCUCAAAAAUUUUCGCUGCUAUUU